GGAGGGUGCAAGCGUUAAUCGGAAUUACUGGGCGUAAAGCGCACGCAGGCGGUUGGAUAAGUUAGAUGUGAAAGCCCCGGGCUCMACCUGGGAAUUGCAUUUAAAACUGUCCAGCUAGAGUCUUGUAGAGGGGGGUAGAAUUCCAGGUGUAGCGGUGAAAUGCGUAGAGAUCUGGAGGAAUACCGGUGGCGAAGGCGGCCCCCUGGACAAAGACUGACGCUCAGGUGCGAAAGCGUGGGGAGCAAACAGGAUUAGAUACCCUGGUAGUCCACGCCGUAAACGAUGUCGAUUUGGAGGCUGUGUCCUUGAGACGUGGCUUCCGGAGCUAACGCGUUAAAUCGACCGCCUGGGGAGUACGGCCGCAAGGUUA
rnacentral:rRNA from 1 species